rnacentral:rRNA from 1 species
UACAGAGGUGGCAAGCGUUGUUCGGAAUUACUGGGCGUAAAGGGCGCGUAGGCGGGUUUCCAAGUCGGGGGUGAAAUUCCAGGGCUCAACCCUGGGACGGCCUUCGAUACUGGGAGCCUGGAGAUCGGGAGAGGUGAGUGGAAUUCCGAGUGUAGAGGUGAAAUUCGUAGAUAUUCGGAGGAACACCAGAAGCGAAGGCGGCUCACUGGCCCGAGACUGACGCUGAGGCGCGAAAGCGUGGGGAGCAAACAGG